UGCGUAGGCGGGUUUCUAAGUCAGAGGUGAAAGCCUGGAGCUCAACUCCAGAACUGCCUUUGAUACUGGAAGUCUUGAGUAUGGCAGAGGUGAGUGGAACUGCGAGUGUAGAGGUGAAAUUCGUAGAUAUUCGGAGGAACACUAGUGGCGAAGGCGGCUUACUGGGCUUUAACUGACGCUGAGGCACGAAAGCAUGGGUAGCAAACA
rnacentral:rRNA from 1 species